AGAGUUUGAUCCUGGCUCAGAAUCAACGCUGGCGGCGUGCCUAACACAUGCAAGUCGAACGAGAAAGGGCACCUUCGGGAGCCUGAGUAAAGUGGCGAACGGGUGAGUAACACGUGGGUGACCUGCCCUUUGGAGGGGGAUAACCCGGGGAAACCCGGGCUAAGACCGCAUAAGCCUCUGAGGUCAAACUCAAAGGGAAAAGGGUCUAGCUUUCGAGCUUGAUCCUGCCGAAGGAGGGGCCCGCGUCCCAUUAGCUUGUUGGUGGGGUAAAAGCCUACCAAGGCUACGAUGGGUAGCCGGUCUGAGAGGACGGACGGCCACACUGGAACUGAGACACGGUCCAGACUCCUACGGGAGGCAGCAGUGGGGAAUUUUGGGCAAUGGGCGAAAGCCUGACCCAGCAACGCCGCGUGGAGGAAGAAGGCCUUCGGGUCGUAAACUCCUGUCCUAGGGGAAGAAAAAAAUGACGGUACCCUUGGAGGAAGCCCCGGCUAACUCCGUGCCAGCAGCCGCGGUAAGACGGGGGGGGCGAGCGUUGUUCGGAAUCACUGGGCGUAAA
rnacentral:rRNA from 1 species